rnacentral:rRNA from 1 species
UACGUAGGGUGCAAGCGUUGUCCGGAAUUAUUGGGCGUAAAGGGUGCGUAGGCGGCGCGGUAAGUCGGGUGUGAAAUCUCGGGGCUUAACUCCGAAACUGCAUUCGAUACUGCCGUGCUUGAGGACUGGAGAGGAGACUGGAAUUUACGGUGUAGCGGUGAAAUGCGUAGAUAUCGUAAGGAAGACCAGUGGCGAAGGCGGGUCUCUGGACAGUUCCUGACGCUGAGGCACGAAGGUCAGGGAGCAAACGGG